AUAGAGUUUAAUGUAUAAUCACUAUCUGUAUUUUCCAAAAUGCUUCCAAAUUAUACAUGUUUAUUUUUUAACAAGGGCACUUCAAUACAUUUGGUGAUUCACUCCUUUGGUAAGUAUAAAUAAACUGACACAUUUAUUUACAAUUGCACAUAAAGAGAUGAUCUGUCCAUUCAACAUAAUUACUGCAAAAGAAAACUAUUUUGGUGAAAAUUAAAUUGUAGGCUUAUAAGUAUAAAUCCUGUUUAAAUGUUCAAAUUAAUCUCUUUUGUUUUAGUUGUGCGUGAAUACAAAUGUAAAAUCAUGGUGAUUCUGUCAUCUGUUGUCUUUAUUGGCUCUUGAUGCUUCUGCCUCAUUACUGUAAUUGAUGGUCAUUAUUGAUGCUAAUAAACACCUGAGUUAAGUGUGAAUGCAUCUGGAUUUUUCCUGAUGUCUCUGAUAAUGAGUGCUAUAGUUAUGCUGAUUGUUUUAGAGCUGCUGAAACUCAGAGUCUGAAUGGUUCCUAUAACUGCUUACAUCCUUUGUUUGCUUUAUCUUCAACUUUAAGGACAGCCCACUAAAAUCUGUAUAAAGUUACAGUGUUUCACUGUUUUAGUCACACUUGAUGACCGCAGCACUGAACAGCAGCAUCUCAGUUAAGUGUCUCCUGGUCUUUGCUUCAAGAGUUUCCCACAGCUAUAACCGGAUAUUGUAGGACAACAUAUUAAAACAGAAAAACCCCUGGUGAAGCUGAGAUCCUUGUGACACUCUAUUAUAAAGAUGGCAUUUAUUAAGGUGGAGAGUGAAGACGUGAAUAUUGAAGAAGCAUUCAGAGUGAAACAAGAAGAUAAUGGGGAACAAACAGAUGGUUAGUGCACAUGAAAGCUAUAAUAACAAUACUGAAUAAAAUUCAGAGCAUCAGAAGCCGUUUACAAACAAAAAUAUCACUGUACUAACAUAUUAACAUGCCUUCUCCAUGUCUCUUUAGAUAAAAGCUCAAUAAGAACUACAAUCAGCAAAAGAACAUUCAUCGUUCCAAAAGGUCUUCAGGUCUGCUUCCUCACAGACUCAGUGUGUUGGGAUAUUGAGCACUACUUUCCAAACGCACAAUGUUGGAUUCAUCCAAACACGACUCUUGUGAGAUCCGUUCAACAACACGUGAAACACUUUGAGAAACUGCACAACUACACAAUAGUGAUUCUCCACAUAGGAACAAACGACAUCACAAGCGGAGUGUCUGCAUCGACUAUCGUCCAGAGAAUGAAAAGUCUCAUAUCAAGAAUCUCACAAGUUAAUUCACACAUCCUGUAUUUCGCAAUCAGCGCUAUUUUACCACGAGCAAAAGACGACUCUACAGUCAAAACUACAAUCAAACAAUGCAACAGCUUGCUUCAACACUGGUCUUCACAAACAAGAAACAUUCUAUUUCUGAACACUACGAAACCAUUUCUCAAAAACGGAAAAGUAAUCCAAAACCUAUACGAACACGACGGACUUCACCUGAACCAAGAAGGAAAACACAAACUGUUUUCAUACUUUCAGCGUUUCCUCUGGAAUUUUUGCCGGUUUUCAUCCCGUGCAAGACGUACUUAAACAUCUCACAUCAGUGUCUAACACAAACUUGACUUUGUUCAAUACAUCUGUGAAGCAAUAAACUAUAAGCUCACACUUCUUUCUGAACUUCA
ensembl:lncRNA